GACGAACGCUGGCGGCGUGCUUAACACAUGCAAGUCGAACGAUGAAACCUAGCUUGCUAGGUCGAUUAGUGGCGAACGGGUGAGUAACACGUGACUAACCUGCCCCUUUCUCUGGGAUAACGCUCCGAAAGGAGUGCUAAUACCGGAUACUCACACCGAGGCACAUGCCUUGGUGUGGAAAGUUUUUCGGAAAGGGAUGGAGUCGCGGCCUAUCAGCUUGUUGGUGAGGUAACGGCUCACCAAGGCGGCGACGGGUAGCCGGCCUGAGAGGGCGACCGGCCACACUGGGACUGAGACACGGCCCAGACUCCUACGGGAGGCAGCAGUGGGGAAUAUUGCACAAUGGGCGCAAGCCUGAUGCAGCGACGCCGCGUGAGGGAUGAAGGUCUUCGGAUUGUAAACCUCUUUCAGUAGGGACGAAGCGAAAGUGACGGUACCUAAAGAAGAAGCACCGGCUAACUACGUGCCAGCCGCCGCGGUAA
rnacentral:rRNA from 1 species